GACGAACCGUGCGAACGUUAUUCGGAAUCACUGGGCUUAAAGCGCGUGUAGGCGGGAGGGCACGUCCGUUGCUGAAAUCCCCCGGCUCAACCGGGGAACGGGCGCGGAUACGACCUUCCUGGAGGGGCGUAGGGGGACCUGGAACUUCCGGUGGAGCGGUGAAAUGCGUUGAGAUCGGAAGGAACGCCCGUGGCGAAAGCGAGGUCCUGGACGCCU
rnacentral:rRNA from 1 species